GAUGAACGCUAGCGGCAGGCCUAACACAUGCAAGUCGAGGGAGAAGCCCUUUCGGGGGCAGAAACCGGCGCACGGGUGCGUAACGCGCAUGCAACCUACCUUUCACAGGGGGAUAGCCCGAAGAAAUUUGGAUUAAUACCCCAUAAUAUUAUUGGAUGGCAUCAUUUGAUAAUUAAAACUGCGGUGGUGAAAGAUGGGCAUGCGUCCUAUUAGCUAGUUGGAGUGGUAACGGCACCCCAAGGCUACGAUAGGUAGGGGUCCUGAGAGGGAGAUCCCCCACACUGGUACUGAGACAGGGACCAGACUCCUACGGGAGGCAGCAGUGAGGAAUAUUGGUCAAUGGUCGGAAGACUGAACCAGCCAUGCCGCGUGCAGGAAGAAUGCCUUAUGGGUUGUAAACUGCUUUUAUAUGGGAAGAAUAAGGCGUACGUGUACGUUGAUGACGGUACCAUAUGAAUAAGCAUCGGCUAACUCCGUG
rnacentral:rRNA from 1 species